UCCCUGGUGGUCUAGUGGUUAGGACUUGGUGCUUUCACUGCUGUGACCAGGUUCAGUUCCUGGUCUGGGAA
rfam:Sus scrofa chromosome 15.